UACGUAGGGGCUAGCGUUAUCCGGAAUUACUGGGCGUAAAGGGUGCGUAGGUGGUUUCUUAAGUCAGAGGUGAAAGGCUACGGCUCAACCGUAGUAAGCCUUUGAAACUGGGAAACUUGAGUGCAGGAGAGGAGAGUGGAAUUCCAUGUGUAGCGGUGAAAUGCGUAGAUAUAUGGAGGAACACCAGUGGCGAAGGCGACUCUCUGGUCUGUAACUGACGCUGAGGCUCGAAAGCGUGGGGAGCAAACAGGAUUAGAUACCCUCGUAGUCCCU
rnacentral:rRNA from 1 species